rnacentral:rRNA from 1 species
UGGGGAAUAUUGGACAAUGGGGGAAACCCUGAUCCAGCGACGCCGCGUGAGUGAAGAAGUAUUUCGGUAUGUAAAGCUCUAUCAGCAGGGAAGAAAAUGACGGUACCUGACUAAGAAGCCCCGGCUAACUACGUGCCAGCAGCCGCGGUAAUACGUAGGGGGCAAGCGUUAUCCGGAUUUACUGGGUGUAAAGGGAGCGCAGACGGCGAAGCAAGUCUGAAGUGAAAUGCAUGGGCUCAACCCAUGAAUUGCUUUGGAAACUGUUUGGCUUGAGUGUCGGAGGGGUAAGCGGAAUUCCUAGUGUAGCGGUGAAAUGCGUAGAUAUUAGGAGGAACACCGGAGGCGAAGGCGGCUUACUGGACGACAACUGACGUUGAGGCUCGAAGGCGUGGGGAGCAAACAGGAUUAGAUACCCUGGUAGUCCACGCAGUAAACGAUGAAUACUUGGUGUCGGGGAGGUAAACUCUUCGGUGCCGCAGGCAAACGCAUUAAGUAUUCCACCUGGGGAAUACGUUCGCAAGAAU